UACGGAGGGGGCUAGCGUUGUUCGGAAUUACUGGGCGUAAAGCGCGCGUAGGCGGACCUGUAAGUCGGGGGUGAAAGCCCGAGGCUCAACCUCGGAACUGCCUUUGAUACUGCGGGUCUCGAGUCCGGGAGAGGUGAGUGGAAUUCCUAGUGUAGAGGUGAAAUUCGUAGAUAUUAGGAAGAACACCAGUGGCGAAGGCGGCUCACUGGCCCGAUACUGACGCUGAGGCGCGAAAGCGUGGGGAGCAAACAGG
rnacentral:rRNA from 1 species